rnacentral:siRNA from 1 species
GCCGGUGUGACAAGAACAUCCU